CGUAAUAGCUCACUAGUCGAGUGACACUGCGCCGAAAAUGUACCGGGGCUAAACAUAUUACCGAAGCUGUGGAUUGUCCUUUGGACAAUGGUAGGAGAGCGUUCUAAGGGCGUUGAAGCAUGAUCGUAAGGACAUGUGGAGCGCUUAGAAGUGAGAAUGCCGGUGUGAGUAGCGAAAGACGGGUGAGAAUCCCGUCCACCGAUUGACUAAGGUUUCCAGAGGAAGGCUCGUCCGCUCUGGGUUAGUCGGGUCCUAAGCUGAGGCCGACAGGCGUAGGCGAUGGAUAACAGGUUGAUAUUCCUGUACCACCUAUAAUCGUUUUA
rnacentral:rRNA from 1 species